UGGGGAAUAUUACACAAUGGGCGAAAGCCUGAUGCAGCGACGCCGCGUGAGGGAUGACGGCCUUCGGGUUGUAAACCUCUUUCAGCAGGGACGAAGCGCAAGUGACGGUACCUGCAGAAGAAGCACCGGCUAACUACGUGCCAGCAGCCGCGGUAAUACGUAGGGUGCAAGCGUUGUCCGGAAUUACUGGGCGUAAAGAGUUCGUAGGCGGUUUGUCGCGUCGUUUGUGAAAACCAGCAGCUCAACUGCUGGCUUGCAGGCGAUACGGGCAGACUUGAGUAGUGCAGGGGAGACUGGAAUUCCUGGUGUAGCGGUGAAAUGCGCAGAUAUCAGGAGGAACACCGGUGGCGAAGGCGGGUCUCUGGGCAGUAACUGACGCUGAGGAACGAAAGCGUGGGUAGCGAACAGG
rnacentral:rRNA from 1 species